rnacentral:rRNA from 1 species
CAGUCGCCGCGGUAAUACGAAGGGGGCUAGCGUUGCUCGGAAUGACUGGGCGUAAAGGGCGCGUAGGCGGUUUGUACAGUUGGAUGUGAAAUUCCUGGGCUUAACCUGGGGGCUGCAUUCAAUACGUGCAGGCUUGAGUGUGGAAGAGGGUUGUGGAAUUCCCAGUGUAGAGGUGAAAUUCGUAGAUAUUGGGAAGAACACCGGUGGCGAAGGCGGCAACCUGGUCCAUUACUGACGCUGAGGCGCGAAAGCGUGGGGAGCAAACAGGAUUAGAUACCCCGGUAGUCCCUGUCUCUUAUAC